UCGGGAAUUUUGGGCAAUGGGCGAAAGCCUGACCCAGCAACGCCGCGUGAAGGAUGAAGUAUUUCGGUAUGUAAACUUCGAAAGAAUGGGAAGAAUAAAUGACGGUACCAUUUAUAAGCUCCGGCUAACUACGUGCCAGCAGCCGCGGUAAUACGUAGGGAGCAAGCGUUGUUCGGAAUCACUGGGCGUAAAGCGCACGUAGGCGGAUGUGCCAGUCAGGGGUGAAAUCCCGGAGCUCAACUCCGGAACUGCCUCUGAUACUGCACGUCUUGAGUUCGAGAGAGGUGGGUGGAAUUCCUAGUGUAGAGGUGAAAUUCGUAGAUAUUAGGAAGAACACCGGUGGCGAAGGCGGCCCACUGGCUCGAUACUGACGCUGAGGUGCGAAAGCGUGGGGAGCAAACAGGAUUAGAUACCCCAGUAGUCCCUGAGCGGGCUGGCAAGGCGCAU
rnacentral:rRNA from 1 species